UUAAUGAGUGUGGGUAUGUGUAACACUGUGUGUAUAUUAUACACACAGUGUUACACAUACCCGCACUCAUUAAAU